rnacentral:rRNA from 1 species
AUUGAACGCGGCGGGAAGGCCUAACACUUGAAGGUGGACGGGGUGGCGGACGGGGGGGUAAGUUCUGGGAAACUGCCUGUUGGGGGGGGAUAAUUACUGGAAACGGUGGCUAAUACCGAUUACAACAGGAUGUGCCCAGAGGGGAUUAGCUUGUUGGUUGGGAAACGGCUCACCAAGGCGACGAUCCCUAGCUGGUCUGAGAGGUUGACCAGCCACACUGGAACUGAGCAACGGUCCAGACUCCUACGGGAGGCAGCAGUGGGGAAUAUUGCACAAUGGGCGCAAGCCUGAUGCAGCCAUGCCGCGUGUAUGAAGAAGGCCUUCGGGUUGUAAAGUACUUUCAGCGGGGAGGCGUUACCCGCAGAAGAAGCACCGGCUAACUCCGUGCCAGCAGCCGCGGUAAUAC